UACGAAGGGGGCUAGCGUUGCUCGGAAUCACCGGGCGUAAAGGGUGCGUAGGCGGGUCUUUAAGUCAGGGGUGAAAUCCUGGAGCUCAACUCCAGAACUGCCUUUGAUACUGAGAAGCUUGAGUCCGGGAGAGGUGAGUGGAACUGCGAGUGUAGAGGUGAAAUUCGUAGAUAUUCGCAAGAACACCAGUGGCGAAGGCGGCUCACUGGCCCGGUACUGACGCUGAGGUGCGAAAGCGUGGGGAGCAAACAGG
rnacentral:rRNA from 1 species